rnacentral:rRNA from 1 species
GUCUACGGCCAUACCACGUUGAAAACACCGGUUCUCGUCUGAUCACCGAAGUUAAGCAACGUCGGGCCCGGUUAGUACUUGGAUGGGUGACAGCCUGGGAAUACCGGGUGCUGUAGACU